GGUAUUACAACCACAUUCCCUCACAUCCUAUAAUAGCUAUUUAGCGGUGAGGGCUCUGAAUUGCUAUUCAAGACAAAGGCUGAAUACAUUUUCAGAUUUUGGGACCAAAAUAGCCUGCUUUCUUCUCCCAACAAAUCUGCUCCAGAUUUCUUUCAACCUUUUUCCCCAAAUCAAGCAUCCAUCCAUCCGCUCUUCAUCUUCAUCUCCUCAAAGAAUUUUAGAUCCCUUGGAAGAAGGUUUCAAGCUUCUCCCCAUUGCUAAUAGAGGGCAGGUAUUAUUUCAAAUUAAUGACAGUCAGUCUGCUUGACUGAAGUGCUACACAUUCUGUCUGUUCUCCUGAGUUGUUAAGUUUGCUUUGUUUGCCAGUUGUCAUUAAUUCAAAUUAAGGACGCCGUCUAUGUUUCUUGUUAAAAAGUUUGGCAUUGAUCAUAACGAUGCUUUUGCAUUCUGGGACUGGGUUGGCGGUCAUUACAGUGGUUAAUGAACUGAGCUGCUAAACUUCUCAACUUGAGCAGCGUCUUCCAACACCAACAGCUACUGGUGGAUCUCUGCAACCGCAUAAAAGGACUGCUCUUAUUGUGGUUUUUAAUGGGAACUUCAAGCAUUGAUCAACAUUUCCAUUCAGCUCCUUUUAAGAAUAAUAUGUUAUAUAUACCUGAAUUUAGAUUGUGCGCCAAUUGAUGGUGUGCUGCUUCCUUACGAGGCUGGUGAAAGGAAAAUCUGGAACAAAUGGCUAACACGAGUUUUAUCAACUAGUCAACCAGUUAUGUCAGGUUUUUUCCAAUCAAGUGUUUCUUCUCAGAGUUCUUGAGGAACCAAAAGGAAAUGGGUUUCAGAAGAAGAUGCUGCGUUGGUUGCUUGUAUGGUCGACUUGCACAAUGCUGGAACCUUUAAUGCGGAUACGGGAUUCAAAGCUGGCUAUUUAAAUGAGUUAGAAAAAAUGGUAGAAAAAGUUUUACCCAAUGCAAUGUUGAAGGCUAAACCUAAUCUUGAAUCGAGGAUUAGGACAUUGAAAAGGGAUUGGUCAAUCAUUUAUGACAUGCUUACACCAAACCUUUCUUGGGAAAUACAUGCAGCCAAAAAGCAGUUUUCCGGAACUCUAGUCUGCCGGUAAGGACUACUUUAUUCCUUCAUCUAUGUUUCGAAGAAUACUUGAGCGAUUCCCAGUGUGACUCAGUCCAACAUGAACUGUUGACUUGAUGCUGAGAGAGAUUAUUUUUCUUUUUGUUGACCAAUAAAUUUGAACCACGUAUUUAUAGACUAAACUUCAAAACAUAAUACAUUGUAUUAAUUACAGCAGGGAAUCCUGGAAGCAAUGGUUUCAGUGUCAUGAUUCAUCUGAUAAA